UCCAGCCCAACACUAAACCAGAAAUUUUAAAAAGAAAGAAAAAGCAAGCAGAAAAAAGAAGCGCACGUUCUACUUGUUCCUGUAGUCUCGCUGUGUGAAGCCUUCGCUUUAGCCACCAUUUACACCUCCAAUCCAAGUCUGUCUCUCUGAGAUCAGGUGCUAGCAUCAGGUAAAUGGGUUUGAUGACACUACUUGAAGGCUUUCUGCUUCUUGCAAAUGCACUAGCAAUAUUAAAUGAGGACCGCUUCCUUGCGCCUAGAGGAUGGAGCCUCUCAGAAUUCUCAGUGGGCAGGACAAAGUCAGUCAAAGGACAGAUUAUAGGUCUCAUUUAUGCAACACAGUACUUGAGAGUUCCUCUCGUACUACUCAAUACCGUCUGCAUUGUUCUAAAAUUGAUAUCUGGGUGAUGCAAAAUUAGAUGGUUCUGAAGAUUCAUCAAAGUGAUAUGGGAAAUCUGCCAAAUGGAUCUCUGGUUUCUUGGAAGGCUGAAGCAUUAGGUUGAUUGAUAUUGUUUGAUUGUUGUAAUUUUGAAAUAGCUCUUGCACCUCAUUGUUCGGAAACUAUUUGCCAAUGUAUCAAUUGUGCAUUUUAACGUCACUCUCUCUGUCUCUCAUCCUUCCUUGCCUUUCACUUUUCUAUCUGUUAGCAAUAAAAAUUCCCUCAAAAUUUAUUCAA